CCCGAAAAAAAAAAAUCUAAUAUUUUAAACUUUGAAAUUAGAAAUUGUAAUGCCAUCGAAUCAAUUUUUUUUCCCCAAAAGAAACCCUAACAGUUCGUGAGCUGCCGUCGUCACUAACAGCCGGUCAGCCACCACCGUUCGUCGUCACCGACCAACACUCAGCUGCACCUGUUGGUUCUCCUGCAGCAAGGUUUUUGCCUUUUCUACUUUUCUUUCUUUGUUUAUUUAUUUCGAAUUGCAUCUGGUUUCAUUGAUUUGGGUGUCUGUGUGCAUGUGUUUGUUUGUCAGUAAUGAGUCAUUGAGUUGAUGGAGAUGGCUAUUUACAAUGUUUGCUGAAAUGCGCUCCAGCUUCAAAGUUGAUGGAGUCGAAAGAGGCUCUUUGACUUUGCAGCUAUUUGUCAGCUUCGAAAGGUUUACAUUUAGUCCAUUGUCUCUUUAACAAUCAGUGGAAUUCAUAUGCAGUAGAUGCCCUUGCUCUAGGAUUAUCUUUGUUCGGUAUCUCUGGAAUGGUAAUUGCCAAUUUUAGAAUUCUUAAUGAGUUGAUAGGGCCGGUAUUGUUCAUCAUAUCUAGCAUUACAUUGCACAUCUGGGUCUCAUAAAUAAAGCCAAAACGUAAUGCCACACAAUGAAUCUGCUUUCCAAUCCACAAAUCGGAAUUCUCAGAACAAGCAGCAAGAGCACUAGUGAGUGCAACCACAUUUGGCCUCAUUGUACUCAUAAUAGAAAAAGCUUCUUUAUACUUCUUAUUCUGAACACACCCAGAAAUUAAAGAAUUUUUCAUAACGGGAUCAACUCUACCAUUGAAACCAUUAAAAACAUUCAUGGCCUCACUAAUGCACCCUACAGCUGAGUAAAAAUCAAUAAGGGCAGUACUCAAAAAUACCAAAUCACGUCCCAAAACAACAACCAAACCAUGUACUUGCUUGCCUAGUCGAAAUGCCUUCAACAGGGCACAAGCUUUAAGUACAGAAGAUAAGGGGGCGAAGGAGGAUGAAGAGAGUAAAUUCAUAUGCAUUGUAGGGUUAGGUGUCUAGCGAAGUAGUCUUUUUUUUUUUUUUUUUGGCAUUGCAUGGGCCAAGAAUUAAUUGAUAGAAGAAAUUGUUGUCCUGUAAGUAAUUCAUGAAUUAAUUGAAUUGUGAAGGACAUGAACGUGGGAAGCAAUAAGAGAGCAACAUAUCACGUUUAAUGGAAACCACAUGCUAUGUCUCAUCUUCCUUACUAAAUGGAAAUGAAAUUGACACCCAAAAUGAAACUUCAUAGGUGAAUAAUCAAAGUCUUUAACUUAUAAAAUAAGAUACAGUAAUAUUUAUAAAUUAAAAUAUCAUAUUUAAAUCCAGUACAUGGUAAAAUCAGAUUUAAUGUUUUGUAUCUGCAUAGUUUUUAAUUGUUUGCUUCUAGUAAAAUGCUAGUUUUAUUUUUAUUUUUAGUUUGUGCCAAGAUUCUUGAUGAGGAGCCAGAGAUUGAAACAGAUGUAGAGGCUGUAGAGGUAUAUAGUUUUAGUUUAUAUUAUCUUGUCAAGAAUUUAUUAAGUUGAAUUGUUAAAACAUGUUUUUAUUAAUUUUUUUUUUGUUUAUGUUGUUAUAGGUUUAUGAAGAAUCUUAGAAUGUGCAUCAAUGGUGAUGGCUACAAGUUUAUGUUGAAGACUUAAAAUUAUUUUGAUUUGUCGUAUAAAAUUUAAUCAUUUGUAAUUAUGUUGAAGGCUUAAAAUUAUUAUGUUUUUAUUUAUGUGGAGGUUGUUAAAAUUUGAUCACUUGUAAUUUUAUUUCUAAUAUGAAAUUUGAUUAUUUGUAAUUUUAUUUCUAAAUAUGGAGGUUGUUAGAAUUAUUAUUAUUUAAGAAAAAAGGAAAAUUGAAAUAUUUAGAAAUUAUUAUUUAAAAAAUGGGGAUCGGGUCCCCGUUUUAAUCCCCGCUCAAUUCGGGGAUUUUCGG
rnacentral:lncRNA from 1 species